GACGAACGCUGGCGGCGUGCUUAACACAUGCAAGUCGAACGGAAAGGCCCUGCUUUUGUGGGGUGCUCGAGUGGCGAACGGGUGAGUAACACGUGAGUAACCUGCCCUUGACUUUGGGAUAACUUCAGGAAACUGGGGCUAAUACCGGAUAGGAGCUCCUGCUGCAUGGUGGGGGUUGGAAAGUUUCGGCGGUUGGGGAUGGACUCGCGGCUUAUCAGCUUGUUGGUGGGGUAGUGGCUUACCAAGGCUUUGACGGGUAGCCGGCCUGAGAGGGUGACCGGCCACAUUGGGCCUGCGAUACGGCCCAGACUCCUACGGGAGGCAGCAGUGGGGAAUAUUGCACAAUGGGCGGAAGCCUGAUGCAGCAGCGCCGCGUGCGGGAUGACGGCCUUCGGGUUGUAAACCGCUUUCGCCUGUGACGAAGCGUGAGUGACGGUAAUGGGUAAAGAAGCACCGGCUAACUACGUG
rnacentral:rRNA from 1 species